UACAGAGGUCUCAAGCGUUGUUCGGAUUCAUUGGGCGUAAGCGGUGUGUAGGUGGCGCGCUAAGUCGGGUGUGAAAUUUCGGAGCUUAACUCCGAAACUGCAUUCGAUACUGGCGUGCUUGAGGACUGGAGAGGAGACUGGAAUUCAUGGUGUAGCAGUGAAAUGCGUAGAGAUCAUGAGGAACACCAGUGGCGAAGGCGACACGCUGGGCCGUACCUGACACUGAUGCGCGACAGCAUGGGGAGCAAACAGG
rnacentral:rRNA from 1 species